rnacentral:rRNA from 1 species
GACAGAGGGUGCAAACGUUGUUCGGAAUUACUGGGCGUAAAGCGCGUGUAGGCGGCUCGGAAAGUCGGAUGUGAAAGCCCUGGGCUUAACCUAGGAAGUGCAUUCGAAACUCUCGAGCUUGAGUUCUGGAGAGGAAGGCGGAAUUCUCGGUGUAGAGGUGAAAUUCGUAGAUAUCGAGAGGAACACCGGUGGCGAAGGCGGCCUUCUGGA